GCCAGAACUUAGUUCUUGCUGAUAUACUAAAACGAAUUGUAGUAUUGUGCAUUUCGCUAGCUGCAUACGUAGUGUCAAAGGCCAAUCUUCGCGUUAUUAAUCUCUGUAAAUCAGUACUUUCAUCAGCUCGUUCACUAUCUUGUGCGGUUGCACCACCGAACACGGAGACAAGAGGCGAUCUGUACUUUAUAAUUUAUUAGCGGCUCUCCUGCAACUGCUUCUGGCUCCAAUUAUUGUGGGUUGGAUCUGGAGUGUACUGUGGGGAAUAACAUUCGUCAAUAUCAGCGUUUCGAAAGCUGUUGAAGAACCCAACUCAAGUGCGAUGCUGUAACUGAAACUUUUCCGUUAAUACGUGAUCCCAUGGAACAAAUACACCAAAGUCUAAAAUCUUUCUUCUCUUUUCACCUGCACACCGUGGUGGAAGUUUAGCACGCCAGAACAAACUACUCCUAGUAUUGCAGAAGAGGGAGGUGUUUUGGGAAGCCUCUGACGUGUUCACUUCGUAAAAAGCUAAAAAGACGAAGAGACAAAUAUAGCUGUUUUAAAAUCUGAGGAGUGUUCUACCAUUGUUCUUGUUACCUUUUAUUAUAUUUUCAAGUCUGAUAAAUGUAUACUCAUCAUACACAUUUAAAGCACAAUGUCCCGAUAUUAGAAUAAAAAAGUGCCAUCUUGUCAGCAUUAUAUUGAGCAAACAAAUCAUUAACUUUAAUCUGUGAAAAUAGUUUGAAAUAAACUGCAUAUGUAGUCUUUCCUGUUUUCGUAAAUAAAAGUUCAUCACCGUAAUGUGAAGUACAAACUGCGUGAAUGAAAACUUUUACAAAACUGAAGAUGCGUCUGAUCUAAUGAAGAAUUGCCAGCAUUAUUUGAAUGAUUAAAAUAUGUUGAAUUAAAACUCUAAUGAUACGCUGGCAAAAUAUAAGAAACUGAUAAUUUGACUUCCCAUUUCACUGAACGUACGUCAACUGAAACAUUUUUUAUAAUCCACUUGAGUGUAUCAAAUUUUGAAUUAGUAUCUCACUUUAAAAAAAAAAUACUUAACUGAAGAAAAGGUAUUUGUGAUUUAUUUCUGGACUAUAGUUUUAUGUCCAGAAAUAAAUCACAAAUACCUUUUCUUCAGUCUUUGUGAAGCCCAAUUAACAUUAUUUUCUGCUUUAAAGGGGCGAAACUUUCUUUUGAAAUGACGAAAGAACCACGUCUUUUAGAAUUAAAUGCAAAUAAAUUUGCAUUUUUUUAAAACAUUUUAUCCCUGAGGCCUAUUAAAGAUCUGUAAUCUCCAUAAGAAAGGAAGAUUUAAAUUAACUUUCUUUCGAUGUUAAAUGGAAUGUUAGCGUGCAAGUCUUCUUGUCGUAUAAUAUGGAAAUGGUAAAAACCGACAACGUAUUUUAUGUUGCAAGAAUUCGCUGUGAGAUAUCUUGCAUCAUAUGUUACUGAAUAUUUAUAUGAAUGUUAAGAAAGACAGUAAGUUAAUUAAAUGAAUGUUGAACGAGUUUCGACAAUUGCAAAACAAUGUUGCUUUCUGCCUAACGUGCUUGAAUUUGCAUAAAGAAUAUAAUUACAAGACAUUACUUAUUGAAAUCGUAUCCAUCAUUUCCAGAGUACUAUUUUUAUCUUUAAUAGUACUUAGAAUAAACUUUGGAAGUUAAAGACGGAACUUUUCACUUGAUAUAAAGCGUAUAUAUAUUUAAUACAGCUUUAAAAUGCAGUUUUAUUGGGUGUCUAACUUACUUGCUCGGAAUUUUUAAACAAUUUAUUUUUAAUUGUUAGUUUGCAUCGGAUAGUGGCACUCAACUACUAAGCAUUUAUUUAUUUCUUGUGACUAUAUACUACUUACUGAAUAUAACACUUCUUGUAUUGAAUCAGGUUUUGUCGACCACAAAAUACUUAACUGCAGCUCUAUCAAAAUGUAACAAUAUUAUAUAAACUGUUUGAAGAGAUGCAUUCAUUACACGUAAACUAGUGAUUGUUUAGAGUUACAGCAAAAGAAGCAUUUAAACCAUUAACUGGUUCCAGAUGUCAUGAAACUGGGAAUAAAAGAAAUAAAUAUUUGAAUAUAUUUAUUGUAGGUGAACAUUACCCUAUUUUUAGAAAGCCCUGGUUAGUUUGUAAGAAUACAAAUACUUUGAAUAACGUUUAUGUAAAAUUGUACAUUUUAUUUUCCUGCAAAUAUUUUGAAAUUUUGUCAUCAAAUGAAAUUUGGAGAAAUAAUUACAAAUAAAUUUUGCAUUAUAUUUUUAUGAAAAUAUUUUGAGAAAUUACAGAUCAAUGAAAUUUAUAUAAAUAGUUAUGUGAUUUAGACAAAAAUGGUCAUGCAAGUAAGUAAUCAUUUUGAAUAAAAUUGAAGUCCUAUAGUCUUAAUUGCAAAGAGUUUUAUGUAUUUCUGUUCUCUUUCAUAUCAUUGAAUAAUUAACAUGACUUCUUUUAAGGAUGUUUAAUGACAGUUAUUUCAUUUAUUCUGAUAGCAUAGUAAAUCGUAAUUAUUCAGAAUUAUUAUUUCUGGAAAAUCAUUCUUUUUUUUUUUACUUUUAACUUAACUUUUUUUUAAAUUUUAAUUAUGUGCCAUUUUUAUAAAAUAUAUUUAUUAACAUUGUCACGUUAUUAAAUUAGCAGGAUAAUAUUUUCCAUACUGGCCCGAAUAUAAAACGGAACUGUAUAUAAGAUGCACAUGCAUUUUUGUCAAUGUCGUAAGAGUAGUAUUUAGUACACCGUUAAUGAUUGUAAGACAGCUGCACAUUUAUAAACUUUAAAUGUGGAAGAUUUGACCUAAAUAUAAAAUAAUAUAUAAAUAAUAUGAUCCUAGAUUUUCUUUAGAACAGUUUAAAAGGAAAAGAAAAUGCUUGAAUGUAAGACAAUUUCCCAUCUAUGAACAUGCUCAUUUCUACUGAAUAUUAAAUAAUGGUUUUACAUACUGCAUUUCUUCAUAGAACUCUAAAUAUAUUUUCUUCCGAUAUAAAAGAUAAAUGAUAAACUAUUUCAGUGGAUUUUUUCUGCUACAACUUGUCUGUAAAAAUGAAGGUGACUUUUAUAGCAGCAUUUGAGAGAAAAAAGACCGCAUUGUAUUCGGGCCAAACGACAUAUACAGAGUGUUUUAAUGGAACAAGCUUUAAGCCAUCAUAAAACACACUGAAGCAUAUAAUUUCUACCUUGGAGUACAUGGUCGCGCCUUAAGCGGUUGUUUAUUAUACGGCGCUUUCAUUUCCCACACACGCCGUUUUUCCACACGCCUCUACCAUUCUCUCGUAGAACGCUUAAGUUUCAGUCUUAAUUGUGUCCUGCACCUUCGAAGAUCUUGUUUACACUCUGAAUAAGAUAUGUAACUAAACCGUUUAUAACCGUUUAGGUAUGUAACUAAACCGUUUGUAAACCGUUUAGAGGCAUUCCUUAGCGACUUGACACGUAUCAGUAUACGAACGAAAAUGCAGAAGUUCCUUCUUCAUCAUUUGUAUUUGUUGUUCAUCAUUUGUUUAUCAUUCCGAAAAAUGCAAGGUAUGGAGUAUUUUCAGCACCUAAUCGCUUAUCGUGCGACCAUGCACUUGUCCUAUUAGUUCUGAAACGCCUUGUUUAUAUUAUACAAGACCUGAAACAGCAGUAUUUCUCUUUUCAAAGGAAAAGAAUCUUAAAAUGCAAAGGUUAGAAACACUUUGUUUUAGGUCCUAAAUCAUAAUCAGUUUUAUAAUAAAAAUUUGCAAAAUAUCAUUCAACCAACAAAAUGUGUUCAAUUAGAAACGAUCAACUGGUAGAAACAAACUGCAUAUUUUUACGCUGUUGUUUGGAAAGAGAAUAUUUGAUAGUAAUUGACAAAAUAUUGUUAGUAAUGAGUGGAAAAUGAAACAAAAAUAAACCAAUCAUACUGGUAUCACAAAAAAUGAUAAUUCUCUAAAUUUCAUUAAUCCAAUCUUUUUUGUAACAAAAAAAAUAUAGUCUAACUUGCUUUCGGCUUAGAAAAUAUUUGAAUGAGAGUUCUGAUUUUUAAUAAAUGAGAUUUAAUUAUAUUUCUAUUUGAUAAUAAUUAAUAUUAUUUUGUUCUGUGGCGUAGGAUAUACUAUAUAAAUUAUCGUCUGAAUAGUUUUGAAGGAUUAAGUCGCAUUAACAGCAUUUUUAUCAUUAUAUUCUUUGCACUAAAAGUAUUUGAUAUUUUUGUCAUUUUUGAAAACAUAUGAAUUUUUUAAUAUCUUUUCGUAAAAUCUAAUUCUUUAAUUUUGGAACAAUAAUUUAAAAUUAUUUAAUAUAAAUUAUUACUUUGCAAUAAUAACUUCUGUUAAAUAAUUUUAUUUACAAAUUACUUUCAAGACUGAUGAAUAAAUGCAGGCAAAAUGUCUCUUAUUUCUUUCAGCUUUCUUUUGAAUUUGAAAUUCGAUUUUGAUAAUGAAAUAAAAAAUCAUGAUCGAGCAACGUCAAAAUUCUUUUCUGUUUUCCAUUUUUUUCUACAUUGGAAAAAAAGCGACAAAGGAUUUCUCAAAGACUUCGUGUCUGAUGGCUUUUUUUCAUUCUGGUUUUUUAAUCUCUCAGAUUGAACUAAAAUCUUAACUCUAAAUAGCAUCUGUAGACAUUAAAACAAACUCUACUUAGUGCAGUUAGAAUCCAAAGACCUCCAAACUCUCAGUAGCCGUUUGAUAACGUGUAACGAAAGUAAGAAUGUUGCAAUAAAGUUUUCAUUGUCCUCUUGUUUUCAUUCCAAUACCUCUUGUGAGAUAAGAACUUUGAAAACUCUUAAAUCUAAUUUAAUGUAAAUCUGGUGAUUUUUAAAAUUUAUUUUUAAAUAAAAAUUAAACUAAAAAGAGUGUAAUUUUAAUUUUUGUAUAAAUAUUAAAAUAAUACUUCAUGAAAUUGGUAAUACAGUUGAUAUGAACACACAUGAUGAAAGUAAAGAGGCACAGUAACUGAUUAAUUUUUAUGUGUUUCAUAUUUUCUAGAAAUAUGUAUGCAAAUUUUUACUGACAACUUUUGUCAAUUACUAUGAAAAGUUGCAAGUUCAAAAAUGGUUUAUAUACAUCUCACAUAUUUAUAUCUACAAGUUUUCAGUUGUAGCACCUACAAAGUGCUUAUAAGUAUGCAAAUGCACUAACCAUAGCACUAGUGUAGUGAUGUAUAUUUGCAUAUUUUCCCUUGCUCUUCGAUAUCCUAUUUACUACUAUAAAAUGUAUAGAUCUCAUGUUUUAUUAAACCCUUAUUCGGAUACUAAUGAAUUUAAUGAUUCAUAUUUACUUUUGUUUUGUAAUUCUCCAAUAAAGAAGAAAAAUGGGAGAGAUUACUAUUUUGUGCAGUAAUGCAGAGAAUAUUUGAUAUUUAUUUUUAAAAUAUGCAAAAAUGCUGCAAAUUAUGUAACAGCCGAAAGUGGUACAUAAAUUACAUAUUUUUAUUAGAACAGACAUAUAUUUUUAACUUUUGCACAUUGGUCAAAUAAUGAUCAAUGAUUACAUAUUUAUUCUUGUAAAUAUGCUUCAUAAAACUAUUUUUCUGAAGUAAUCAAUUUAGGUUUUCUUUGAAAAUGAAUUAUUGUAUUAUAAAAUUGCUUUCUAAAACCAAUGUUGAUUAUGAAUAUAUUAAACCUUAUGCAUUUUUUUAUUACAAGUAUUAUCGAUCUGCAAAACUUCCAUUGUAUAAUUCUUUUUUUUUUUUUUUUUUUUUUCUUUUCUCGGCCCAAAUAAUAAUAAAAGAACUCUUUCAAUAUAUCCAUGUUUACAUUUUUAAACAGUAGUUUACAUGAAUUCGGAAGAAUAUGAAAAAAUGUAUGCGAUGUUUAACAUAUAGAGUCUUUCUUUUCUUCUAAAUAUGCACUCACGACAGCUUGAAAAAUGUGUUUGUAUUUAUAAAAUUACUUAUUUAUUUAUAUUAAAAAAUUAUCAUUUAUUAUAAAAUUUACCUGUAUUUAUAAAAACAAUUAUCAACAGCCUUCCUAUAAAUUUAAUCUUUUAAUCAUUAUAGAAAUAUUUAUUUGAAUAAUAUAAUUUUUUGCUCCAGAAAGGCCUUCCCGAAAUCUGAUUUAAACUGGAAAACAUUUUUCUUUGAAUAAAGUAAGUAAAUUAAAAUAAAUAAAGCUUACUAUUUUCCUUAAUAUUUAGAGUAUACAUCUAGUGUCAUUAUUCUUAGUACAGAAUCAUAUAGCAGUUCGUAUAUUCGUUCCAGUGAAAUCCUAAAGUGAAAAUAAAACCAACCGUCGAUGUUAUUAUAUUCAUAUCGCAUGCAGCAUACACAAUAUUUAAGAAAUUUUAAAAAAUGUAAACUGUAAAACUUUGAUAGUAAAUGUAGUUUUAAUAUGUACGCAGUGCUAAUUAGUUUAUUGCAUAAAAAAUACAAAUUUUAUAAAUAUUAAAAAUGGAUACGUUGUACAUUUGCAUUUUUUCUACAUAUUCAGCGCUGUUAAUAAAUUAGAAGUUAUUAUAAAUAAUAUACUGAACAAAAAAGAAGAAAAUUAUUAAGCAUUAAUACGGUAUGAUUAUGAAACAAAAUUCAUGAUACAAGUUAAGUUCACCACUAAAUAAUCUCUUUUCAUGUGAUUUCAAAAAUAAUAUGAGUGCUACCGAAUAAGGGUUUAUUAUUUUCCUACACUUGUGAAUACGAAUCUCUAUUUUGUAAUUUAUGAAUGCUGAAUGUUUAUUUAUAUACACUUCCGCACAUUUGCCAAACCAUGUAUAAAUAAACUCUCACUAAGUAAAA
rnacentral:lncRNA from 1 species